rnacentral:rRNA from 1 species
UGGGGAAUAUUGCACAAUGGGCGCAAGCCUGAUGCAGCCAUGCCGCGUGUAUGAAGAAGGCCUUCGGGGUGUAAAGCACUUUCAGCGGGGAGGAAGGCGAUAAGGUUAAUAACCUUGUCGUUUGACGUUACCCGCAGAAGAAACACCGGCUAACUCCGUGCCAGCAGCCGCGGUAAUACGGAGGGUGCAAGCGUUAAUCGGAAUUACUGGGCGUAAAGCGCACGCAGGCGGUCUGUCAAGUCGGAUGUGAAAUCCCCGGGCUCAACCUGGGAAGUGCAUUCGAACCUGGCAGGCUAGAGUCUUGUAGAGGGGGGUAGAAUUCCAGGUGUAGCGGUGAAAUGCGUAGAGAUCUGGAGGAAUACCGGUGGCGAAGGCGGCCCCCUGGACAAAGACUGACGCUCAGGUGCGAAAGCGUGGGGAGCAAACAGG